CUCAACCCCAAGAGUGCCGUGGGGACUGGUCGCCUGGAGGCAGGCAGAGGAGAGCGGAAUUCCUGGUGUAGCGGUGGAAUGCGUAGAGAUCAGGAAGAACACCCGUGGCGAAGGCGGCUCUCUGAGCCUGUCCUGACGCUGAGACGCGAAAGCGUGGGGAGCGAACAGGAUUAGAUACCCUGGUAGUCCACGCUGUAAACGAUGGAUGCUCGGUGUCGGGGGUAUCGACCCCCUCGGCGCCUAAGGUAACCCGGUAAGCAUCCCGCCUGGGGAGUACGGCCGCAAGGUUGAAACUCAAAGGAAUUGACGGGGGCCCGCACAAGCGGUGGAGCAUGUUGUUUAAUACGUCACUAACCGUAGAACCUUACCAGGUCUUGACAUCUUCGGAACCCGGCUGAAAGGCCGGGUGCCUUCGGGGAGCCGAAAGACAGGUG
rnacentral:rRNA from 1 species